rnacentral:rRNA from 1 species
GACGAACGCUGGCGGCGUGCUUAACACAUGCAAGUCGAACGGUGAAGCGCCUUCCUUUUUGGUGGGUGUGGAUGAGUGGCGAACGGGUGAGUAACACGUGAGUAACCUGCCCCCUUCUUCUGGAUAACCGCAUGAAAGUGUGGCUAAUACGGGUUAUUCUGGGUCUGUCGCAUGAUGGGUCUGGGAAAGUUAUUGUUUCGGUGGGGGAUGGGCUCGCGGCUUAUCAGCUUGUUGGUGGGGUGAUGGCCUACCAAGGCGGUGCCGGGUAGCCGGCCUGAGAGGGUGGACGGUCAUACUGGGACUGAGACACGGACCAGACUCCUACGGGAGGCAGCAGUGGGGAAUAUUGCACGAUGGGCGCAAGCCUGAUGCAGCGACGCCGCGUGAGGGAUGGAGGCCUUCGGGUUGUGAACCUCUUUCGCCAGUGAAGCAGGCCUGCCUCGUUUGUGGGUGGGUUGACGGUAGCUGGAUAAGAAGCGCCGGCUAACUACGUG